rnacentral:rRNA from 1 species
AGUGAGCGCUGGCGGUAGGCCUAACACAUGCAAGUCGAACGGCAGCACAGUAAGAGCUUGCUCUUACGGGUGGCGAGUGGCGGACGGGUGAGGAAUACAUCGGAAUCUACUUUUUCGUGGGGGAUAACGUAGGGAAACUUACGCUAAUACCGCAUACGACCUACGGGUGAAAGCAGGGGAUCUUCGGACCUUACGCGAUUGAAUGAGCCGAUGUCGGAUUAGCUAGUUGGCGGGGUAAAGGCCCACCAAGGCGACGAUCCGUAGCUGGUCUGAGAGGAUGAUCAGCCACACUGGAACUGAGACACGGUCCAGACUCCUACGGGAGGCAGCAGUGGGGAAUAUUGGACAAUGGGCGCAAGCCUGAUCCAGCCAUACCGCGUGGGUGAAGAAGGCCUUCGGGUUGUAAAGCCCUUUUGUUGGGAAAGAAAAGCAGCAGGUUAAUACCCCGCUGUUCUGACGGUGCCCAAAGAAUAAGCACCGGCUAACUUCGUG